rnacentral:rRNA from 1 species
UACGAGAGGCCCAAACGUUAUUCGGAAUUACUGGGCUUAAAGAGUUCGUAGGCGGCGCAGAAAGUAGGGUGUGGAAGCCCUCGGCUCAACCGAGGAAUUGCGCUCUAAACUACUGUGCUUGAGGAAUCUAGAGGUGAGCGGAACUGAUGGUGGAGCGGUGAAAUGCGUUGAUAUCAUCAGGAACACCGGAGGCGAAGGCGGCUCACUGGGGAUUUUCUGACGCUGAGGAACGAAAGCCAGGGGAGCGAACGGG